rnacentral:rRNA from 1 species
UAGCGUAGGGGGCUAGCGUUGUCCGGAAUCAUUGGGCGUAAAGAGCGUGUAGGCGGCCCGGUAAGUCCGCUGUGAAAGUCGGGGGCUCAACCCUCGGAUGCCGGUGGAUACUGGUCGGGCUCGAGUACGGAAGAGGCGAGUGGAAUUCCUGGUGUAGCGGUGAAAUGCGCAGAUAUCAGGAAGAACACCCGUGGCUAAGGCGGCUCUCUAGUACGGUACUGACGCUGAGACGCGAAAGCGUGGGGAGCGAACAG